UACGUAGGGGCCGAGCGUUGUCCGGAAUCAUUGGGCGUAAAGCGCGCGUAGGCGGCCCGGUAAGUCCGCUCUGAAAGUCCAGGGCUCAACCCUGGAAAGCGGGUGGAUACUGCCGGGCUAGAAUCCGGAAGAGGCGAGUGGAAUUCCUGGUGUAGCGGUGGAAUGCGCAGAUAUCAGGAGGAACACCAAUAGCGAAGGCAGCUCGCUGGGACGUUACUGACACUGAGACGCGAAAGCGUGGGGAGCGAAUGGG
rnacentral:rRNA from 1 species